AAUCUGUCUUUGGAUGGGGGACAACCGUGGGAUACUACGGCUAAUACCGCAUGAUGCCUGAGGGCCAAAGCUCGCGAGAGCGUCUGAAGAGGAGCCUGCGUCUGAUUAGGUAGUUGGUGGGGUAAAGGCCUACCAAGCCUGCGAUCAGUAGCUGGUCUGAGAGGAUGAUCAGCCACAUUGGGACUGAGACACGGCCCAAACUCCUACGGGAGGCAGCAGUGGGGAAUAUUGGACAAUGGGCGCAAGCCUGAUCCAGCAAUGCCGCGUGGGUGAAGAAGGUUUUCGGAUUGUAAAGCCCUUUUGGCGGGGACGAUGAUGACGGUACCCGCAGAAUAAGCUCCGGCUAACUUCGUGCCAGCAGCCGCGGUAAUACGAAGGGGGCUAGCGUUGCUCGGAAUGACUGGGCGUAAAGGGCGCGUAGGCGGCUUGUACAGUCAGGCGUGAAAUUCCUGGGCUCAACCUGGGGACUGCGUCUGAUACGUGCUGGCUUGAGUAUGGAAGAGGGUCGUGGAAUUUCCAGUGUAGAGGUGACAUUCCUAGAUAUUGGAAAGAACACCGGUGGCAAAUGGCGGCAACCUGGUCCAUUACUGACGCUGAGGCGCGACAGCGUGCGGAGCAAACAGGAUUAGA
rnacentral:rRNA from 1 species